GUAAAUUUGUUUUUCCCUGACAGGCUGUUGAGAAUGCUCAAGGAAUAGACAGGGGAGAAAAUGAAGAUCAGGUGCAACACUGCCUGUGCCAGGAGCAGCACAGUGUUCUCUGCGAUCCCAUCACUUACCAACGGCAUCACCAGGAACUGGCUAGUGCUGAGAUGAAGACUCUACGUGAGAAUUUCACACAGGAAGCCAUUGAAAUUCAUCAGCUAGCUGUUGCUCAAGAUACUAAAACAGAUUUGCUCAAAUGUGGAGAAUGUGGACAGCGAGACUGCACUUACAGCCAGAUGCAGUCCAAAAGUUCUGAUGAACCUAUUACGACGUCUGUCUUGUGCAAUCAUUGUGGUAAACGUUGGAAGUUCUGCUGAGCUAUGAGUCAAAAGGCACCAAAUAUGCCCCAAAGGAUUUCUUUGUUUUUGUAAUGAACUUGGAAAUUUUUUGCUGCUCCAAAAACUAAAUGAAAUAUAAGAUUUGGCAUUAACAUCUUCAACCCUGUGCAGAUAAAGCAUGAAUCAUGACCAUCUUCAACCCUUAGAAAAGGUACUUAAUGCAUGUGAUCAUAUAUGUACCAUUACUUGUUAUGUGUGACUUACUGAACUGCUUAAAAAGUGGCUCAGCAAAGCUCACAUUUGUAAUGUUUCUGACUUAUAAUGUUUCAAAAUCCAUGUUGUUGAGUAUUCCAAGGUUGCAAAGAAGUGAAUUCUUUGAUAACAAAAAUAUGUAGGCAUCAUUUAACUACAGUAAUUUUGAAUUAUUUCAUGUUAAGUAUUGAACAAUAGAAUAGUUAUCAUUUACACUGCGUAAUAUGACUUAUGAAUACCUUCUCUGUAUCCCAGCAUUGUAAUUCACAAAUGAAACUUCAUCACAUUAUGUACUGUGUUAUAUUAGAUAAGACUUUGAACUUUUAAGAUUCUGCAUUAUAUUCCAGUGUUGGCUGACAACUAAUUUUAGUACUGUACAGGGCGAUGCAUGACUAUGCAAUGAGCUGGUUUUUUCAACAUUUCACUUGGAAAAAUAUAUAGCUUUACAUUCCUACAUUUAUUGUCAUUAGGACAUAUGAUUACAAAUACAGUGUAUUUGUAUAGUGUUACGUGACUGUAAAGUUCUUUUAUGUUCCAAUAACAUUCAUUCCUUUGAUGAGAUUUUGUGUAAAUACAAUACACUGUUUGAUUACGUUGUGUUGUAUCCUGGAUUUGAAUUUACCAGGUAGUAUUCUGAAGUGACGACCAAUUCCACAUGGAUUAUCGUUUUCAAAAUACAUAAUUUUAUGUCAAUGUGUAGUAGCUCACCAAAAUCUGACUAGUUAUUUAUUUAUUGUAAUAACUUGCAUGAGUUCCAUACUUAGAGUCUAGUCUUGUACAUUACAAUUCCAGAAUAGUUAUAAAAAAAAUUGUAUAAAACAUACCACUAAGCAACUCAUUGCCCCAUACUCUAAUAUAUAAUUCUUUAUAUAAUAUAUAUUAUAUAUAUAUUUAUAUUAUUAUUUUAUAUUAUAUAAUAUAUAAUUAUUUAUAAUAUCUAAACAAUAAGACAUUUAAUUGCUAUGCAGUGUGUAUCAUGUAUGACAUACUAUCCAUAUUAAUAAUACUUUUAAUUUCAAAAUGUUGCAUAUGUCUCUGUACAAUAUAUAUACAGUACUGUAUAUUUUUUUCAUUAACUCUCUGGCUGCAUAGUUAGAUGUCUGAAAUGUGAAUAAUUACAAAAGUUGCACUUUGAAUAUUUGAGUUGAUGGAAGCUAUUUCCAGGAAAAGCUUGAUUAUCAUCAGGUGGGAGUCAUGUUUUAUUUGACUGAAGAAAAUUAAUCCACCCAAGAGCUGUUUUAAUUAUAUAUAUAUAUAUAUAUA
rnacentral:lncRNA from 1 species